GACGAACGCUGGCGGCGUGCCUAAUACAUGCAAGUAGAACGCUGAAGGAGGAGCUUGCUUCUCUGGAUGAGUUGCGAACGGGUGAGUAACGCGUAGGUAACCUGCCUGGUAGCGGGGGAUAACUAUUGGAAACGAUAGCUAAUACCGCAUAAGAGUAGAUGUCGCAUGACAUUUGCUUAAAAGGUGCAAUUGCAUCACUACCAGAUGGACCUGCGUUGUAUUAGCUAGUUGGUGAGGUAACGGCUCACCAAGGCAACGAUACAUACCCGACCUGAGAGGGGGAUCGGCCAAACUGGGACGGGGACACGGCCCAGACUCCUACGGGAGGCAGCAGUAGGGAAUCUUGGGGAAUGGACGGAAGUCUGACCGAGCAACGCCGCGUGAGUGAAGAAGGUUUUCGGAUCGUAAAGCUCUGUUGUAAGAGAAGAACGAGUGUGAGAGUGGAAAGUUCACACUGUGACGGUAUCUUACCAGAAAGGGACGGCUAACUACGUG
rnacentral:rRNA from 1 species